UACGUAGGUGGCAAGCGUUGUCCGGAAUUAUUGGGCGUAAAGCGCGCGCAGUCGGUCCUUUAGGUCUGAUGUGAAAGCCCACGGCUCAACCGUGGAGGGUCAUUGGAAACUGGGGGACUUGAGUGCAGAAGAGGAGAGUGGAAUUCCACGUGUAGCGGUGAAAUGCGUAGAGAUGUGGAGGAACACCAGUGGCGAAGGCGACUCUCUGGUCUGUAACUGACGCUGAGGCGCGAAAGCGUGGGGAGCAAACAGG
rnacentral:rRNA from 1 species